UGGGGAAUUUUGGACAAUGGACGCAAGUCUGAUCCAGCCAUUCCGCGUGCAGGAUGAAGGCCCUCGGGUUGUAAACUGCUUUUGUACGGAACGAAAAGGCCUUUUCUAAUACAGAGGGCUCAUGACGGUACCGUAAGAAUAAGCACCGGCUAACUACGUGCCAGCAGCCGCGGUAAUACGUAGGGUGCAAGCGUUAAUCGGAAUUACUGGGCGUAAAGCGUGCGCAGGCGGUUAUGUAAGACAGGUGUGAAAUCCCCGGGCUUAACCUGGGAACUGCAUUUGUGACUGCAUAGCUAGAGUACGGUAGAGGGGGAUGGAAUUCCGCGUGUAGCAGUGAAAUGCGUAGAUAUGCGGAGGAACACCGAUGGCGAAGGCAAUCCCCUGGACCUGUACUGACGCUCAUGCACGAAAGCGUGGGGAGCAAACA
rnacentral:rRNA from 1 species